rnacentral:rRNA from 1 species
UACGGAGGGUGCAAACGUUGCUCGGAAUCAUUGGGCGUAAAGCGCACGUAGGCGGCUCGUUAAGUCGGAUGUGAAAGCCCCGGGCUCAACUCGGGAAGUGCAUUCGAAACUGGCGAGCUUGAAUAUGGAAGAGGGUCGCGGAAUUCCCGGUGUAGAGGUGAAAUUCGUAGAUAUCGGGAGGAACACCAGUGGCGAAGGCGGCGACCUGGGCCAAUAUUGACGCUGAGGUGCGAAAGCG